UACAGAGACUGCAAGCGUUAUUCGGAUUCACUGGGCGUAAAGGGUGCGCAGGCGGCCGUGUGUGUGAGGCGUGAAAGCCCGGGGCUUAACCCCGGAAUUGCACCUCAAACUACGUGGCUAGAGCAUUGGAGAGGGUAGCAGAAUUCAUGGUGUAGCAGUGAAAUGCGUAGAUAUCAUGAGGAAUACCAGAGGCGAAGGCGGCUACCUGGACAAUUGCUGACGCUCAGGCACGAAAGCGUGGGGAGCAAAAGGG
rnacentral:rRNA from 1 species